GACGAACGCUGGCGGCGUGCUUAACACAUGCAAAUCGAACGGAAAGGCCCUGCUUUUGUGGGGUGCUCGAGUGGCGAACGGGUGAGUAACACGUGAGUAACCUGCCCUUGACUUUGGGAUAACUUCAGGAAACUGGGGCUAAUACCGGAUAGGAGCUCCUGCUGCAUGGUGGGGGUUGGAAAGUUUCGGCGGUUGGGGAUGGACUCGCGGCUUAUCAGCUUGUUGGUGGGGUAGUGGCUUACCAAGGCUUUGACGGGUAGCCGGCCUGAGAGGGUGACCGGCCACAUUGGGACUGAGGUACGGCCCAGACUCCUACGGGAGGCAGCAGUGGGGAAUAUUGCACAAUGGGCGGAAGCCUGAUGCAGCGACGCCGCGUGCGGGAUGACGGCCUUCGGGUUGUAAACCGCUUUCGCCUGUGACGAAGCGUGAGUGACGGUAAUGGGUAAAGAAGCACCGGCUAACUACGUG
rnacentral:rRNA from 1 species